UACAGAGACUGCAAGCGUUAUUCGGAUUCACUGGGCGUAAAGGGUGCGCAGGCGGCCAAGUGUGUGAGGUGUGAAAUCCCGGGGCUUAACUCCGGAAUUGCACCUCAAACUACUUGGCUAGAGCAUUGGAGAGGGUAGCAGAAUUCACGGUGUAGCAGUGAGAUGCGUAGAUAUCGUGAGGAAUACCAGAGGCGAAGGCGGCUACUUGGACAAUUGCUGACGCUCAGGCACGAAAGCGUGGGGAGCAAAAGGG
rnacentral:rRNA from 1 species